rnacentral:rRNA from 1 species
GCGGCGCACAUAAGACAUGCAAGUCGAACGGACUUAACUCAUUCUUUACGAUUGAGAGCGGUUAGUGGCGGACUGGUGAGUAACACGUAAGCAACCUGCCUAUCAGAGGGGAAUAACAGUGAGAAAUCAUUGCUAAUACCGUAUAUGCUCACAGUAUCACAUGAUACAGUGAGGAAAGGAGCAAUCCGCUGAUAGAUGGGCUUGCGCCUGAUUAGCUAGUUGGUGGGGUAACGGCCUACCAAGGCGACGAUCAGUAGCCGGACUGAGAGGUUGAACGGCCACAUUGGGACUGAGAUACGGCCCAGACUCCUACGGGAGGCAGCAGUCGGGAAUAUUGCGCAAUGGAGGAAACUCUGACGCAGUGACGCCGCGUAUAGGAAGAAGGUUUUCGGAUUGUAAACUAUUGUCAUUAGGGAAGAUAAAAGACUGUACCUAAAGAAGAAGCACCGGCUAACUAUGUGCCCGCAGCCCCGGUAAUACAUUGGGUGGCAGCGGUUAUCCGGAUUUAUUGGGUGUAAAGGGUGCGUAGACGGGAGAAACAAGUUAGUUGUGAAAUCCCUUCGGGCUUAAACUGAGGGACUGCAACUAAAAACUACUUCCCUUGAGGGUCGGAGAGGAAAAGGGAAUUCCCUGGGUAGGCGGGGAAAAUGGCGUAGAUAUUAGGAGGAACACCAGUGGGCGAAGGCGAACUUUCUGGACGAUAACUGACGUUGAGGCACGAAAGUGUGGGGGAGCAAACAGGGAUUAGAUACCCUGGUAGUCCACACUGUAAACGAUGGAUACUAGGUGUAGGAGGUAUUAAGCAUUCUGUGCCGCCGCUAACGCAUUAAGUAUCCCACCUGGGGAGUACGACCGCAAGGUUGAAACUCAAAGGAAUUGACGGGGGCCCGCACAAGCAGUGGAGUAUGUGGUUUAAUUCGAAGCAACGCGAAGAACCUUACCAGGGCUUGACAUAUACAGGAAUAACUAAGAGAUUAGUUAGCUCUUCGGAGUCUGUAUACAGGUGGUGCAUGGUUGUCGUCAGCUCGUGUCGUGAGAUGUUGGGUUAAGUCCCGCAACGAGCGCAACCCCUGUACUUAGUUGCCAGCAUUCAGUUGGGCACUCUAGGUAGACUGCCGUAGAUAAUACGGAGGAAGGUGGGGAUGACGUCAAAUCAUCAUGCCUCUUACGUCUUGGGCUACACACGUGCUACAAUGGACGGUACAAAGAGAAGCGACCUGGUAACAGUGAGCAAAACUCAAAAAGCCGUUCUCAAUUCGGACUGUGGGCUGCAACCCGCCCACACGAAGACGGAGUUGCUAGUAAUCCUAGAUCAGCACGCCAGGGUGAAUGCGUUCCCGGG